AGAUGAGUAGUUUAAAAGAAUAUGCGCCUUGGGAGCGUAAGGUCUACUUUGAGAGGUAGCUUGUCUG
rnacentral:tRNA from 1 species